CGGCAACGGAUACCUCGGCUCUCGCAUCGAUGAAGAACGUAGCGAAAUGCGAUACUUGGUGUGAAUUGCAGAAUCCCGUGAACCAUCGAGUCUUUGAACGCAAGUUGCGCCCGAAGCCAUCAGGCCGAGGGCACGCCUGCCUGGGCGUCACACGCCGUUGCCCCC
rnacentral:rRNA from 1 species